rnacentral:lncRNA from 1 species
UAGGCUAGUUUAAAAGUAACAACCAAAAAUUGUAAAGAGGAGUAUGCAUGCCUCUUGAUUUUACAAUGGAGUUUGUCACCCUGCAAAAUCAGCAUAAUGUUUAAAAAGGUAUAAGGGAGAUAGUUUAUCUUGCUCUCCAAAACUAGAAAUUUUGGUUGUUGCCUCUCUUAGUUAAGACUUUCAACCCAUUAAUAUGUAAACGCCUCUGAUAAGAUUAAACCAUCAGUCAUCUAUACUUUCUCAUGAAUAAGAUUCUUGUGGGUUGAUAUAAGGCCCCACUUAGUUCAAGAAGAGGAUACACUGGACAUGGGGGGCUUGUUUCUCAUUUCAGAAUCCUGACUUUUGUUUGACGGUGAAGGCUGUUUUUGUUGUUUCUUGUUCAAGGUGUUUGUUUUGUUCGAGAUGGACCUCACUGUGUAUCCCAGGCUGGCCUGGAACUCCAGAUGGAUUCUCCUGUCGCAGUCGGCCAAGGAGCUGGGAUUCCAGGCUGCACCAACACCAUAUCCAAUUCUAAUAAAACUAAUUUUAAAGUUCUUAAAGAUGUCAGGGUUACAAUUUCAGCUCUUAAGUCUCUCAAUAACAAUAGUGUAAGCCAUAGACUGGAAGCUUGAAAUAGAAUUCAGAGCCCUGACAGGAGGGUAGUUUAGCCCUGUUUCGGUCGCCCUCCAUUUGUUUGGUUACUAUUCUGUAGUUCCACCUGCAUCCUCCAGAGGGUGAUGUUGUCACUCUCAGUACACUCAGAGCUUGUUGCCAAGGCUUCAUGGCUAGAUCUGUGUUUUGCUUGGUUAAAGAAAAAGUGUGGGAUUUUUUUUCUGUCUCUAUAAACCUACUUACGUGAAUAAUCAUUAAUCAGAUUUUGCACAUGGAUUUUUGUCCUGUUGGUAAUGGACCCAGAGCUCAUUCUAAAGCUGGGUUUUAUUUAGCCUGCCAACUGCCAACUGAAAGAGGUUGAACACUACACCUAUCUAAAACUAGGAAGAUAUAAAAACUUUGAAAAAUAAGUCUACUGCAGAAUAAACUACCCUUCGAAGAAAUGUGGAGUUGAUUUCUCUGCAGAUUUCAGUAUAAUUGCGUAGAUAUUCCUAGCUACAUCACAAUCUUAUUAAAGAUCUUGGAUUUUGAAUUG